rnacentral:tRNA from 1 species
GCAGAGGUAGCUCAGGGGUAGAGUGCCGGUCAGGAGACCGGAGGUCGGAGGUUCGAAGCCUUCCCCGCUGCACCA